rnacentral:lncRNA from 10 species
CGUUACCUUGUGAAAGUCCUUUUCCUGGCUCAUCCUGGCUCAAAAAGCUCCCCCACUGAGCACCUUGUGGCCCCUACUCCUUCCCGCCAGAGAACAAACCCCCUUUGACUGUAAUUUUCCUUUACCUACCCAAAUCCUAUGAAACAGCCCCACCCUUAUCUCCCUGGGCUGACUCUCUUUUCGGACUCAGCCCGCCUGCACCCAGGUGAAAUAAACAGCCAUGUUGUUCACACAAAGCCUGUUUGGUGGUCUCUUCACACGGACACACGUGAAAGUCAGUCUACUAUGCUAUGGAACACUAGAACUUAUUCUUUCUAUCCAGCUAAUGUUUGUACCCAUUAACCAACCCCUCUUCAUCCCUACAUAUUCCCUCCCCCACACCACACACACACACACCCUUCUCAUUCUCUGGUAACUAUCAUUUAAAUCUUUACCUCAUUGAACUCAAUUCCUUCUUGCACCACCUGCCACGGAAAUUUUGGCGUUUCUACCUAACUUAGUGUACCCUCUUCCCACGAAGAAAUUUCCUUUCCUGCCUUGCUCUUCUAUUUUUGUUUAUUCAUUAAAUACUUACUGAGUUCUUAAUACGUGCCAGGCACUGUGCUAGGUGUUUCAGGUUCAAAGAAUAGGGCCCAGUACCUACUGUCAAUAGCUUACAAACUAGUUGAAAAUGUGUGUGUUUAAUCUAGAUAAGAUACAUUCAAUGUGUCACUUAACAACAGGAACAUAUUCUGAGAAAUGCAUCUUUAGGUGAUUUUGUCAUUGUGCAAACACCAUAGAGCAUACAUCUGCAAACCUUGAUGGUAUAGCCUACUACACGCCUAAGCUAUAUGGUAUGGCCUAUUACUCCCAGGCUACAAACCUGUACUGCAUGUUACUGUACUGAAUACUGCAGACAUCUGUAACACAAUGGUAAGUAUUUGUGUAUUUAAAUGUAUCUAAACUUGGAAAAAGUUAUGUGUUGAGCCAUGAUGUUAUGAAAGCUAUGUCACUAGGCAACAGGAAUUUUUCAGCUCCCUUAUAAUCUUAUGGGACCAAUGUUGCAUAUGUGGUUUGUCAAUGACUGAAAUAUCAUUAUGUGGUGUGUGACUGUAGUUGAAAAUGAAAGUAGAGGGCAUAAGGUUAUGUUUUAUACUUCUGUGUGAUCCACUGCACAUAGCAUGUGGAAAGAAUAAACGAAUAAAUAGGAAAUCAAAUGAAGGAAUGUGAAACCUAACUAACCUACUGAGAUAACAGCACCAUGUCCAUAAGGCACUUCUAACCUUAUGGGUGCAGCUCUCUGUAGCUCUCUGUGUUUUCCAGCUCAUCUUUGGCUUUUAUCUUGGGAGACAUCUGGUUUCACAACAUGUCUUCAUGGGACAAUCAGGCACUAUGGUUGCCCUCUAUCUCUGUCAUGGCAUGUGAAGGGGGAUGGGUAGAGAGUUCCAGAUGUGAGCCUCUGGAUUCUUUGCAAAUACUGUUCCCUUUUUCUGGGUUAUUCAAGAAAAACAAUUGUCUUUUCCUGUUAAAAUUACCAACACCCUGCUCACAGCAUCACCAUCAAGCUUUGAGAGACAGAGCAGCUAAAAACGACUCACAGCAAAUGGCCACGGAUGAGUCAGAAACACUUAAAAGCUGUGAUCAGGGGCCAGUUCAGUGCACAGUGCUCCAUGGUUAGGCAAGCAGGAGUCACCUCCAGGGAGGCUAACAAUUAUUCCCAUCCCCUUGAAUGCUAAGCACCACCCCCCAAGCACCUGGCUUCUCGUUAAUUUACCUGUGACAUGUUGCUACACUUAAUUGCAUUUGACAAUUAGUAACAUUUCAACACCUCUUUUAAUGGAACAAUUAAAACAGUGCUUGUUUCAGUUGCAAGAAAAUAUAUGAGCUGAUUUGUCAGAGGAAAAGAAAAAAAAGACCAAACAUAAACCUCCAGUGAUAAUUCAGUUAUAGACAGCUUUGAGAUACUUGGACCAUUGACUUAUGCCUGCAUAGACUGUCAACUCCUCUGAGGACACGAAUCCUUUAAAUAACCCAUACGCUCCAGUGUAGUAUACACUUAUUUUUAACUGUUGGGUAUCCUUUAAUAAGUAUUUGUCAAAUUGAAUUGUACUGAAUUUUCAGAUAUUGCAACAGACUUUUAAAAAAUUACAUUGGUUUGAUUGAUAAUUGCCUUUUUAACCACCUCCACCCCCACAAAAAACUACCUCUUCCAGUGAAAGCCUAGGAAAGGCAAGGAGAGCAUUUCUGCUCCUGCUGCUUCCACUUUAACCCCCUCAAUCAGCUGAGGUUGGUGAGUCAUCCACUCCAGAGUGGUAGGCAUUUGUAGCCUGAACACUGUCACAUGUCCCCCAAGGGAGAGGUAUAAUCAGAAGAGCAAUAAUGACUUUCUGCGAGCUGGGAUGAAUGACCUUAUCCCCCAGGUCACCAGGCAAUCAUCUUCUGAAAUCUGCCACAGAUUUAUCACAAUCCUUUCUCUUUCUUUCCACACUGACAUUAUUCCCUCUUCCUUUGCCCCACACACUCCAGCUUGCAUCCAAGGGUUCUCUGAUUGAAUUGUCUGAGGAUGUAAACAGAACUUUCAUAUAUCCCAUCCUUCUCCUGGGUCAGGAGGGAAAGAAGUUGUUCUUGCCAAAAUAUAGGCUUAGUUACCUAUUGGUUUGAACAUUCUCAACACCCUCACCUCCCCAACACAUACACAAGCAUGCCCACAUGCACACACAAAGGGCCAACUGCACACGUUAAUGCCACAUCUUGCUAAUUGUGUUACCCUUGCUGGUUAUUAUUAAGGUCUUUCUUUCAGGAUGGAGAAACCCAGCCACAUAAUGAUCAAGGAGACAAGUGGAGCAUAUCACUGCAGCGACUGUGCAAUGAUAAUGAGUUACAUAAAUCAAAGUUGGGUAAUUUACCUAUCAGACUGAGCAGUGAAUAGGGAUUUUCAGUAACUGUGAUUGUUUGGUGAUAGAUUUUUUAAAAUAACUCUUGUAUGUAGAUGUUCUGGAACUAGAGAUUUGUUCCCCAAAGAGAGGCAGCAGAAUGCUGUGCAGAACAUGGCAUGGCAUGUCAAGAGACUCUUGAGCUAAUUUUAGCUCUGCCACCUUGGGGAAGGAAGCCAUUUCUCUUCUCAGGGCUUCUGAUUCUUCUGUGAAAUAAAAUGAACUUUGCACGCUCUAAAGGUCUCUUUCUAUCGCAGAUUGUAUGUUGUCCACACUUGCUUUGUUCCAGCAAAGUGAAAGGGACUCCUUCCUGCCUUCCACUUUGCAGAGAGAACUGGGCUGGGGUACCAACGAGAGUCAGCCAGUUGUCUGCCCACCCACCGAUGGGGUUCCC